rnacentral:rRNA from 1 species
UGAUUAACACGUGGGUAACCUGCCCAUAAGACUGGGAUAACUCCGGGAAACCGGGGCUAAUACCGGAUAACAUUUUGAACCGCAUGGUUCGAAAUUGAAAGGCGGCUUCGGCUGUCACUUAUGGAUGGACCCGCGUCGCAUUAGCUAGUUGGUGAGGUAACGGCUCACCAAGGCAACGAUGCGUACCGACCUGAGAGGGUGAUCGGCCACACUGGGACUGAGACACGGCCCAGACUCCUACGGGAGGCAGCAAUAGGGAAUCUUCCGCAAUGGACGAAAGUCUGACGGAGCAACGCCGCGUGAGUGAUGAAGGCUUUCGGGUCGUAAAACUCUGUUGUUAGGGAAGAACAAGUGCUAGUUGAAUAAGCUGGCACCUUGACGGUACCUAACCAGAAAGCCACGGCUAACUACGUGCCAGCAGCCGCGGUAAUACGUAGGUGGCAUGCGUUAUCCUGAAUUAUUGGGCGUAAAGCGCGCGCAGGUGGUUUCUUAAGUCUGAUGUGAAAGCCCACGGCUCAACCCGUGGAGGGUCAUUGGAAACUUGGGAGACUUGAGUGCAGAAGAGGAAAGUGGAAUUUCCAUGUGUAGCGGUGAAAUGCGUAGAGAUAUGGAGGAACAUCAGUGGGCGAAGGCGACUUUCUUGUCUGUUAACUGACA